UACUUCCAUUUCAUUUGUUUUCAGAUAAAGAUGAAUGCUGUGUGUCAUGUAACACUGAAGUUUUGAAGUUGGAAGACAUUUGCUAAAUCAAAUCACUCAAGUAAGUUGACUCACACCUAUCUUAGCAAUAGCUCAAGAUUUAAAAACAAGGGACUGGGUUGUAGCUCAGCAGUAGAACGCUUGCCCAGCAUGUGUAAUAUACUGGGUUCUAUCCUCAGCACCACAUAAAAAUAAAUAAACAAAGAUGUUGUGUCCUUCUGCAACUAAAAAAAUUGUUUUAAAAAGAGAAAAGAUUUAAAAACAAACAAGUCCACCACCUUUGACGCUUCCUUAAUAAUAAAAUUUUAUGGAAUAUCUUAUAGUGAUCUUGUAUAUUGAAUAAGAGGUCUUCGACAAUAGUGGAAUAACAAUUUCAUAUUACAUUUUAUAUGUUUUUAAAAAUAUAAUGUUUAGGGGCUGGGGUUGUGGCUCAGUGGUAGAGCACUUGCCUACCACUUGUGAGGCCCUGGGUUUGAUCCUCAGCACCACAUAAAAAUAAAUAAAUAAAAUAAAAUAAAGAUAUUGUGUCCAAUUACAACUAAAAAAUAAAUAUAUAAAAAAACAAAAUAACAUUUAAAAAAAUAUAUAUAAUGUUUAAACACAUUGUAUUAUUUUUAAAGGGAGACUACCACCUCAAUUAUCCUUGUAUUUGUAGCAAGUUCUAGUCAUAAAGUCUUAACCAAACAGCUAAACAGUGCUUUUAAAAUGGUUUUUCUUUUGAAGCUAAUAUUUUGGUUUUUAUUUUUUAAGUUUUCAUACAGUUUUUCUUAAUGAUUUCUACAUUAUUAUAAAAGGAAGUAAUUUAUUAACCAGCUAGCACAUGAACCUUAAAUGUUUAUUUGGUCAAAAACCUCGCUUGAAAGAUUAUCUUAACCAACCUCAACUUUUAAAAUCAUCUCUUCAUGAUCUUUCUGUAUUCAUUCUCUUUCUCCAUCUUGUAUUCUGCAUAAAUCUGCAUAUAGAAUCACUUUAAUAAUUCAGUUCCUUUGCCUGGCAUUCAAAACUCCCUACCAUGCUCCUAAAACAUCCCCCAGUUGAGCCAACUGGAGUCUCCUAUUCUCUAAACUCACAUAUCCUUCUUUGUCCUUAAAUUGUACUAUUUUUCCUACCGGAAAAAUGAUUUUCUGCUUUUGCUAUUUCCUUUGCGUCUUAAAAUCUUCUACAAAUCUCUCCAUGAAGUCUUCCUAGGUACUCCAGUUAGAAAUACUAACUCUUUCCAUCUCUCUGCUGACUGCGUCUAAUGUUUUGUUUUUUAUCACUAUUAACAGCAGCUUUAUUUGUGUCUCUUAUAGCUCCCAUCCUAGGUUGUAAGGCUGUAUAAAGUAAAAGAUCAUGUCUGAUGAAUUUUGUCUCCCACAGUACUCAGGAUAGCCUUUAAUAGUGUUCAGGAAAUAUUUGCUUAAAAAAUUAAGAAUGUGCUUGGCUUUCUUCCCAUCAUCCCCUCUUUCAUCCUAUAGAUAUGUACUGUCCAUGUUAAUGCCAAUUUUCAUUCUUGUAGUCCAUUCCUGGCUGCCCUUAGUAAGAUACAGUCAUUCCCCAACCUAAGAAUAAGCUAUAUUCCAGAAGUUCAUAUCUUAAUUCAAUUGUUUAGAAUGCAGAAAGCAUUUUUCCACAAAAACAGUGCUAUAAAUAUUGGUUUGAUUCUCAGCCAGCUCUCCCAAGACUGUUUAACUCAUAAGUACCUGUGCUACUUCAGUUACAGGUAGACUCCAUGUAUAAUGAUGUUUUGUGUCAUUCUGGAUAUGGAAGUAUGUCUCCCAUGCACUAGAAACAGGACAUGAACCUGCUGAGCUGAGCCAGAGCUUCGGUAGUGAUUCAUAUUAGAUACUCUUCUACUAGUAGCUUUUUCGUUUUCGGUAUUUGCAUUAUAGACAUUUACCUACAGUUUACUAAUACCUUUAUGUCGUCUAAAUUGAGAGGAAAAGAGCACUUGCUCUUCUGAACCUCCCCAUAGUGAGUUAGGAUGGGGCUUCAGCUGGCCUUUCACAUUGGUGGGCCUUUUGUAAGGUUUUGAUAGAUCAGUAGCUCUUUUACUACAUACUGCUUUCUGCUCUUCUACAAACAACAGAUUGCAUACACAUAGAAGAUAUAUAAACAUAGAAAGUAUAUAAAUAUGAAAAAAUAACUUCUUUCUAUAAGGAAAAAUACAUUUAUUAGUAUCACCCCUAAAUUUGACAUCAAAUCAGUUUUUGUGAACAAGUGAUUAUCUUUUCUACAUGGAUAUAAUGAUGCCUCUAGUGACAAAACAUGCCACUGUAUGAAUAAACAACCCUUGAGGUUGACAGUUUAGGUUGUCAGGCUGUAAGAAAAAAACACUUCAUAAAUUUCAGAGAACUUAAUUAUUCAGUCAUCAUAAGUAUUGAGCCCAGAGUAUCUACUUUAUGCUUAAUGCUGCUGCUAAUGGUAGGGACUAGGGAGUGGAAACAAAAGAUGUUGUGAAAAGUUUGCCUUCCCUCAGGGGCCUGAAAUACGAGGAGCAAAAUAUUAAAUAUUCACAGUGAAAACAAUGUUAUUAAUUGCCAUAAAAUACUUUAAUCCUCAGAGCAUUUAUUAUCUUUCUACUGAGGAUUAUCAGAAUUGCAGCGUCAUUAAGAUUCACUAUGGUUCUAAAAAUAGUGGUGGGAUUUCACUUAGUUUUAGAAGAAUGGUGAAGAUGUAAAUAAAGAGCUAGAAAGGAAAUGCUAUUCCAUGUUGGAUUAACAGCAUGCAAAGAGGAUUGGAGACAUAAACAAACAACAGUCAUUAAUGGCUAAAGCUCAAGAGUUAGUUCAUAUUGGGUGAAAUAAUAAGUGGGAAAAUUAGAUCAGUGGUUCAGCCCUGGCAGAACCUAAGAGUCAUCCAUCUAUUUUUAAAGCUACAAGUCCCUGGAUCUUCCCCAGAACUAUUAAAUAGAAUUUCUGGGGCAUGGGGCAUAAGCCCGUUUAUUUUUAAAGCUCCCCUAGUGGUUCUGAUAUUCAGCCAAGGUUGAAAUCCCCUGAAUUAGAAGGAUGGGCCAAAUUUAAGAGAGCUAUGAAUCCCCUGCUGAGGAGUUGGGCCUCUGUCCCUCAAGCAGUGGGAAGCCUUCAGAGGUUUCUGAGGUGGGUGACAUGAUCAGUUUUGUCCUUGCCAAGAUAAAUGAUUCCUCAACUAUAUGUGAAUGGAAGAAAAGUAAGGAAAAGCUUGAAGUAGAGCAAUGGUUAUGAGAAAAAAGAGCCACAUUUUUAAGUAUAGUUAGAUGUGUGGGAGUUGGUGAUGUCAGCCUUGACCUCAGUAUGAUUUGUUUUAUAAACUGAUUAUACAACUUCACCCUUAUUAAUUUGGUCUUUUUUCUCUUAUGACCUGGCAACUUAAACAGUAAUUUCAGCCACUUUGCAUUUAAUGGAAAGAGAUCAUGGUCUACUCAGGUACAUGUCUAAUUCAUAAUAGUAAGUGAAGUUAUAUGUAUGAGGAAUAUGACCUUCAACACAAUCAUUAUAAAGCAAUCAGGAACCUCCCGUAUAUGCAGUAACACAACCCCAGUCCUACAGAAUUGUGCCAAGAAUCAGAGUCACAUAUAUAAGGUAGUUGUUGACUCACAGUUCCCUAGCAUUAAGUUGAAAUUUGAAGAAACGUUCUCAAUCAUCCUAUGCAUUUUAAUAUUUUUAGUAUUAAAUUUGAUAAUUGCUUAGUUUUUUGCUGGCAGAUUAUGUGAGGCCCCUGACUAAAACACCAAUCCAUAUUCUAAGCUUACAAUUCUUUCUCUGCCCAUUUUUGUAAAGAGAGCAAGCAACCUGUGGGCUCCCAUUAGUUCCAUCCUCUGAUGUUAUCUACCUGUAAGUGCCUCCAACUCAUCCUCAUCCAGAGGGAUAACUGAAUCAGCAGAGUGGAAUCUUCAGUGGAGUCAGAAUUUCAGUUCUUUUGCGGCACUGAUCAGCCAGAUGAUCCUGGCAAUUCUUUUGCUUCUGACCCAAGUGGCACAUGAUAGCUCCUAAGGUGUACAAACUCAAACCACACCAUAGGUUAGAAACAUUUCGUAUCUCUUUGAUGUGUUUGAAUUUUUUUAUUUGAAGAUAAUUAGCCAUAUUUAUUAGACAGCAGAGAAUAAGUUCAAAGCCUGAAGUUUUGAUGUGACCCACCUCCCUCUACAAAAGACUCAACAUCAUGAAUUUUUUAAAAAUAACUACUUUCUCAGUUAUUCUAUAAUAAUAUAUUCAACAAUUUCUUUGACCUUUUUUGCCUUAACAAUGAAUGUAUUAUUGUUUUAUCAAUAUCUUUAAACUUUGAAUGACUUUUGUAAUAGAUAUGUAGUUUUCACUCAUCACCCAAAUGUUUAAACAGUGAAUGGAUGGUUUGCUUAGAGUUGAUAGAUUUGGUAGAAGAGAGGAAAGAGAAGGCAGCUAACAUUUAAAAUAAAAAUCAAGUGCUAUAUCAUAUUCUUUACAUAUAUUUUGUCAUUCUAAUUUCAUUUCACAAAUGAGGAAAUUGGGAUUUAGAGAAGUUUAAAAAACUUACCUGAGCCCAAAGUCAGGUCUGGCUAUCUGUGGAAAGAGCUUAGUCUUGUAAGUUUUCAUGACUUUUAUAUGUGGGAGAAAUCACUGAAUGCAGAAUGAGAAGGUUUGAAUAUAAGCCUCACCCUUGUCACUAAUAACCCUGAAACAAAUUAUUUAAUGCUUGAGAGCAUCAGUUUCCUUGUCAUCAUAGGAGUUAACACUCACUUUACUGACCAUUUUGGCUUGUUGUGAGAAAAAUUGGCUAGUUAGAUUCAGUAUGAUUUUAUACACAUAAAAACCCGUGGAAGUAUGAUAAAUUCUUAAUUCAAGCAAAUAAAUAAACAGAACAAACAUUAAAUGAGAUGACUUGAACCGACUUUGUGGUUUUUCAUUACUUAGUAUUGCUAUAAAUUUUCCAAAAAUAAUGUUCAUCAAUUUUGCAAAUCCCAAACACUGUGGUGUGCCAAACUGCAUCACUGUCCAUUUAAUAUCUCAGUGUAGCCGAGAGUGUCCUGGCUUUCACUUGCCAGGAGCAAUCAUUAGUUUCUAUGCUCUAUUAACUAGGUUCGACCCCCAGUAGAUGCUCAUUGCCAAUGAGGAUUGUUAGGCAAUGUGACUUAUUGAUGUUAACAUUCUCAGAACAUUUUUCCCCAUAUUUCUGAGGUUUUAGAACAAACCUGAAGAAAAAAGUCACAUUUUGUAAUAUUGUUUUUACAAAACUGCUUUUCAAAAAUGUUUCCAUUGCCAGGCUUACUAGUGUGUACCUGCAAUCCCACCUACUUGGGAGGCUUAGGCAGGAGGAUUACAUGUUUGAGACCAGACUUGGCAAUUUAGUAAGAUCCUGCCUCAGAAUCAUAAAAAGUUUUAAAAUGAGCUGGGACUAUGUUGCUCAAUGGUAGAACACCUGGAUUCAAUCCCAAUAUGGCAAAAAAAAAAAAAAAAAAAAAUCCCCCCAGUUUCUGAAAACUUAUACAUUACAGAUUAGUCACACUGAAUGACAAUUAUGAGCUAUUAUAAUCCACUUGUGACUCCUUCCUGUAUAUAUGUAACAGAUAAGGAUUUGGAAGAACUCAUUAAAUUAUAAGGACAGUGCUAUGAAUGAUGUCACAGGUCAUUUCCUAGGGUUACACAAAACCCUUACUCAAAAUUCUUUGACAUUGACUAUUAGCUAAGAGAACAGAGAAACAGUUUUAAUAAAACUUAAGAUGUGGAUCCACAAGUGUGUGCCCACGCAGUUUUAGGUUCUUAAGUAUAUGUGACUCCCCUGCAUCAGUACAUCUUGGGAUCAGUACAUUGCAUAGAGGGUUUUCUGGUCUUAAGGUAUUGACUUCAACAUGGUUUCCGAUACCAGUGCUGUGCCUGCUUCCUAGAUCUGGUGGAUGGAUGGCUCCAGUUAGGGCCAUGUGAAAUAAAAUUCAAGGGAAGUAGACAUAGAAAGCAAAGAAAAUGGACAAAGUAGAGAUUGUAAAUCCUCGACCAAUGGCCAGAUUUGGUCUGUAAAUGUGUUUUGUUUGACCAGCAGAAUAUUUUUUAAUAUUAAUAUUUUAUUAAGUAUUAAUAUUUUUAAUUAGUAACUAAUUUGUUGUCAAAAAAUUUAAUGCACAAAAUCAUGGCUGCUGCAUUCUCAUGCAAACUAGAAGAUCUGGCAACUUGGUCCUGUAUUUCCAUGUGGUAGUCAUCAGCUAGUGCUGAAUAGAAGCUGUCUAUAUUAGAUUGGAACAUUGUACUUUUUGGUUAUCUCAGUCCCACCCCUCGUUAUUGUUUUUCUUUAAGUAGAAAUAAGAGGAGAGCUAAAUCUUACUUAGACUUCCAUCUGUGUUAAAAUUGCAAAUAGCAGGUUGAAGACAUGGCAUAUUUCAGUAUAAGUGAGAGAUGGUAUUAGUUUUCUAGAGCUGCCAUAACUAAGUACCACAAGUGGAGAGGCUUUAAACAACAGAAUUUUUUCCUACAGUUUUGGAGGCUAGAAAUCUGAAAUCAAUUGGCAAGGCCAAGUCACUCAGAGGCCCAUAGAAGAGGAUCCUGCCUUAUCUAGUUUCUGGAAGCCUCGGGCAUUUCUUACUAUAUGACAGCAUCCUGUCUUCUCAUGAUUGUCUUCCAUUCUGUAUGGCAGUGUCCAAAUUUUCUCCUUAGAAGGAUACCAGCCAAAUUGGAUUAGGACCCAGCCUAAUCUAGUAUGACCCCAUCUUGAUUAGAUUUCAUUUGCAAAGACUGCUUUCAAAUGAGGUCACAUUCACAGGUACCAGGGUUAGUACUUCAUGUCAUUUAUGGGGACAUAAUUUAACCCAUGAUAGAUGACAUAUAUCUUUGUGGAAAGAGGAAAAAUUAAGAGCAGGGAUACUUUAAUCAGAGUGUCCACAUUCAAAUUUACAGCUUAUUUGCUUUGUGGUUUUAGACAAGUUGAUUUCUCAGAGCCUCAGUGUCUUCAUCUGUAAAAUGGGGAUAAUGGCACCUGAUUCAUAGGUUUGCAUUGAAGACAAAAUAAGUUAAUAUUUAUAUGAAGCACUUAGAAGAGUGCCUGGCACAUACUAUAUGCUCAGUAAAUCAAUUUUUGUCAUUAUAAUUUUUGUCAUUAACUUAUUCAUACAUAAAUGUAUACAUAGAGUAUCAGUGCACAAAAAAAAACUAUUAAUAGGAUAGCCUAAUGAAAGAAAAUAUGGAUACACUAAAGGUAGUAGGUAUAAGUAGUGCAUGGAAACAAAACUUGAACCAGAGAGAGAGGCUGGAAUUUUAAUAAAAUGUUAUUUUUAAUGCAAAUUAUUGCAAUAUGUCAAAAACAAUUUAGCCUGCUCCCUCUUUUAGAUUACCUGCCUAGCCCCUGUGUGCACUUGAAGCUGACUGAAAUCCCAAGAGAGAACUUUAAACCCAGAAGUAUAGAUGCUGACUAUUGGGUUGGUAAGCACAAGUGACCUGUAGAUAAUAAUGAGGCAGUUCCUCUGGGGAGAAUGCCUAUGGAACCGAUAUCUAAGCAUUCCUACCUGUCUCUUGGGAAGCAUGAUCUUACCUUCUACCUGCUUCCCCAAAAUCUUUAGGUUUAAGUAAUUCUGAUCUCUAAUUUUGGCUCAGAGAUUGAGGUUGAAUAAUUUUUUUAAAAAAUUUAAAUCAUACUUUUAUUUUGAGGUGUAUUUUUUUACUCUUUGACAUAGACUUGAUAUAAGAAAAUCAUACAACUUGAACUUUAUUAAAAACCGAGACAAGAGCACUGAUAAAAUUUAAAGCAACUGCAAGAAUGUUUGAAGUACCAGGAAGGAAGCUGUUCUGUAGGUGAUUGGCUGUUGGAUUUGUAGUACUACAGAAUAUAUAUAUCUCAUUCUCAAAGAUAGUGCUACCUUAGAAACAUGCAAAUAUCAAAUAAAGUCAAAGUAUCUUACCCAAAUGGUGGAAGGGACAUAUAUAUGUAUGUUAAUUCUGAUUUGUGACUUUAUUUGAAUAAAGGAAAUUAAGCUAUUUAAUUUUUGGUAAAUGAGUAGAAUUUUAUAGUUUUGAGUAUCAAUAACUGGAACAUUUAGAUUCAAUGAUGUAUCCAUCAGGACUCCUUCAUCACUGAAAGGAAGCCAGCUUAAACCAGCUUAUGAAAAUAAAGGGAACUUAAUUGUUUAUGUAAUUGUGAUUUCCAGAAGUGCAUCUGACUUCAGGCAUGGUUACAGCCAGGAACUCAAAUGAUCUCAUCUGGAUUCUUCUUUCAGCUUGGCUGAUUUCUUUAUUUGUCAUUUGUCAGAGGCAUAUGGCCAGUAAGCUGAUCACUAGCAAUUUAAGAUUGUCUUCCUUCUGGUUUAAUAAUUCCAACUAAGAGAACUUGUCAGGCCAAAUAUCCACCUAUCUGCCUCAAAGAAGAUGUGCAUUGACUCUGUUUGACCACUUGUGUGGCCAUUUGAAAAAUCAGUGUGACCUAGGAAUGGUAUAUACUGGUGGGCCAGCCUGGUCUGCUAUAGGAGAGGGACACUGCCCAGUGACUGUAAGCCUCACUGGGAUCUCAUGCAGUGGGAGAGGCUUUCUCAAGGGAAAUAGGAAAAGGGAGAUGAGAAUGUGUUCUCAGUAAACCAAGACGGACAUGACUUCAAAUCAUUAUAAAUGGUAUGUGAAAUAAUUCACAUAGUAAUUUUUGGCUUUACAAUGGCAGUGAAACAACUUUCUGGUGCCUUCUACAAAAGAAAUUUAUAUAAAAACAAAGAGUAUAGAUGCAAAAAUUCCAGCUCUUUAUUUGAUGAGAGGUAGGUGACCUCAAUAACUCUGAUGCAUAAGCUUUGAAGACAGAAAGAUUUGAUGCUAUGACUAGGUAUAACAAAGGAAUGUGAAAUUCUAAUCACUAGAGAGACAAUGGCAGUGUUAUCAGGGGACUAGAGAAGGAGGUGUGGCUUGGUGUUAAAAGCAUAUCAUCAGCUGAAAGUCUGUCUCAGGACUAGUUGGACUCUUAUGUCCUCACCUCACUCCAGCCAGAAAAAAAACUGUCUUCUCUAUAUCUUAGGAAUUGGAAGCUUUCUUCUCUGGAAGAAACUAUGAGAAUCUAUAGACAGUGACAGUGGACAGUAGGGUUAAGGGAAAGUCUGCCCUGCUUGCUGGUAGAGAUCCAGAAAAAAGAAAUGUCACGAACAACAGCUUAUUAUCAAUACUCAAAUGGAAACAUUAGAAUGAAGGCAGGAUUUGCAAAAUGUCAUUUUUUUCCUUGUCCUGGCAUAGGAUGAUUUGAAGUGACAAAGUUUGGGUUGUAAUCUCUUAAAAUGAUUGGUCUUUAUUUUUCAACAUGUGUAAAGCUGAAUAAUUUGAACAACAAAGUAUUAGACUGUUAGCGUUUGUCAUACCUUUCACCAAUGAUGAAGAAAGAGUUGUGAAGACUGUUUUCUUCUAAAAAUUUGAGGAGGCAUCAAAAUUUGAAAUUUAGCAUACAUGUACUUUAAAUUAUCUUACAUUACUUUAAAAAUACUAUUUUUAAGAUUCAGUAAAUACUAUUCUUGUCUAUGUAACUAAUAAAAUGUGUUAUAUUAAAAAUCUUCAAAUUACAGUUCGGGAUUUUUGUACAUUCUAAAUUUUAGUCUGUAAAUAUUAUAAAAGCGUUGAAAUUCUGAAGCAUUGUCAGGUUGCCACCUUUUGAAUUGGUUUCUAAAGCUUAAUGAAAUGGAAGGCAAAUGUCUUUCCCUUCUUAAAACAAGAAGUUUUAUUUUAUUCUUUGUUGUAGUAUAAUGAGACCAAAAUAAUGUGAAAAAUUAAAAAUGAAAUUGCACCAGAAUUUUAUUUGCCAAUAUAACUUUUUUAAAAAAAUUGUGCUGCAUUGCUUUUGCUGAAAAACCAGAUCAACUAAUCCAUAUGAAUUCUCUAUUUUUAAGAGGAUUUUUGUGGUUUUGUUUUGGCUUAGUGAGGUCAAGAAUUUUAAAUUAGAAUUAUAGAAUUGGAAGGUAUCCCUCUUAUUCAUUUUACAAAUGAAAGAACUCAAGUCCUGAGAAGUCAUAAUUUAUCCAGGGUCACAAGCUAAUAGUGAGGGUCAGAUGAGAAUCAGGGCCUCCUGGCCAUCAGUUCAGUGAUUUUUAUAAAAGACUUCUUGGGUUUAUUUUUACUACCAUCACUUUAUGUGCAGUAUCCAUAAUUUAUUGCAUUAGGCUCAGUUAGCAAAUUACAAGUUUUUGUUUAAUCCUCUAAAGCUGAAGGAACCUCUGGGAUUAGGAAUACUGACAGUGACAGAAAGCAUGGAUAGCAGGAAGCAUUUUUAAGACUCUUUGGCUGGGGUAGGGGCUGUCCCUUGGUUAGACUCUGAUCCUGCUCCCUACCAGGAACUCCUGUGUUUAUUUUUCUCUAGUACUUGAUUCUGCCUUCUGGAAGAUUCUUCCUUGACCAUUUUUUUCACCUACAGUCACACUUAUGUGGGCAUUGGGAAAUACGUCCUUUAUUUCCUAUUUUUUGUCCAUGCAUUUAAACAUUAUUUUAAGAGUCUCUCAAAGGCUUACAUAUAAUGCAACAUUUGUGGGGCCUUUGGCCAUGUUAUUUCCCCAAACUUAGCUAUUUUUUUUAUCUAUCUUACUGCAGUAAAUUCCAUGUGCUAGUAAGAGUGACUACAUGUUCCAAACUGGCAAGGACAGUCUUAUUUUAUGUCCCUUGUCUUGGCAGGUUAAGUAAUAAUGCCCUUUUCUACACUCAGAGCUAUCGCAGUUUGGACAGUGAAUUGUAUAAUUACUCUAGGCAAUAGCACACCAAAAAAAAAAACCCAAAAACCCUCCAAGCCUGAUUUGUUCCUUCGCUUUCUUAUAUUUCUGUCUCUUUCUCAACCUACUGGGGUUCUUAUUGGACCAUUUGAAAUGUGUUUUAUCUGAAGUUAAUAUACUUAACUUAAUCUGCAGCAAGGUUAAAUUCCUCUGUUUACCAGAGAAAGCAUAAGGAACCAUAUUUUGUUCAAAGUUUUUUUUUUUUUAAGUCUUCUUUUUAAAUGUGUGAAAUCCAGAAGCAGUCAGCUUUUCUACCUCUGAGAGUCCCUCAGAUUUCUAGAUUCUCAGUUUCCUUUCAUUGCUACUCUCAAAUCUUUUAGUGCUUGUCUCUUAACAUUUCUUUAUUAUAAAUCUUUGAUAAAGACAGCAAAUAGUACUAUGUAAUUCAGACAUUCUGUUUUCCAUUUCUUUUCUCUAUAGACAUGGGUUUGGUAGACAAUUGCAUUUGUAAAAAUGGAGGUAUUCAGUCAUCCCUAGGAAUCCUCAGGGAAUUGGUUUCAAGACCCCUCCCCAAGAUACCAAAAUCCACAGAUAUUCAAGUCACUUAUGUAAAAUGGUAUAGUAUUCACAUAUAACUUACACAUAUCUUCCUGUGUACUUUAAAUCAUCUCUAGAUUAUUUCAAAUAUAUUGUUUAUGAAUAACAACAAGACAAAGUCUGUACAUGUUCAGUAUAUACACAUAGGUUUUCAAAUAGUUUGAAUUCACAGUUAUUUGAACCCAAAGAUUCGAAGCACAAAAACACAAGAGCUGACUGAAAUUUACAGGCAAUACGUGCAUAGCUUUUAAGUGCUCAGUUCAAUGAGUUUUGACAACUGUAACCAUUACCCAAAAUAAGAUAUGGAACAUUUCCAUCACUCCAGAUGGAUAACCCUUUCCAGUUAUUUCCCCGCUUUAUACCUCUGGAGCAACUACCUUUUCACUUCUGUCACCAAGGAUUAUUAGUUUGGCAAGCAGUCUUUUUAUUAAAUGUUUGGCAAGCAGUCUUUUUAUUAAGUGCUUUGUGACUAUAUGGCAUAACUACCUUACUACCUUUUACUUGGUUUCUUCAUUUCUAGCUACUAAGCAAUUACUAUAUACUUUAGAGCUUUUCAUCUGUGCCUUCCUUAAAUAUAUUGUAGUUGUUUGUUUAUUUCUUUUAUUAAUUUGGGAAAGCUAACUGCUAUAAUAAGUAGACCCCAAAAUUUAUUAAUAGCUUAAACCCAAUUAAAGUGUAUUUACCGCUAAUGAAAUAAAGUACCAAAGGCAUUUGUGAUCAAUAGAUAACCGUCCAUAACCUGGGCCUUUGAGUUCUUUAGCAACUGGGGAACGAACAUGAACACACCUUAUCUGCUUCUGAAAAACUGCAAUCCAGAAGUUGACACUCAGUCACUUCCACUGAUAUUUUUCUGGAGAGUACUAUUCACAAAGCUACAUCUGGAACAAGGGACAAAGACCUGGAAAUGUAAACUCUGGCAGGGUAAAUGUUUCCCAGUGACAGCCCCAACACUAUAACAGGGAAAAGUGAUGUCACAGCUUUUAUUUUAUUUUAAUGAUACAAUACCACAUUGCAUUUCUUUUUUGUCAUGGUACUUACUUUUUUUGUAUUAUAUGUUCUUUUAUGUUUUCUAUAUAAACAUUUCAGAAUUUAAAACUGAAAUAAAAUGGUAUUGCUUUCUCUAUGAUAAAAAUGCUAAAGAGCAAAACGAAGUUAUUUUCCCUUGAUUAUUCUGAUAAAAUUAAAAUUAGUUUUGGGCAUCAACAGAUAUAAUUUUAACUUUUAAAAGACAUAAAAGCCUGAUCUCACCAUUUUAUUCAAAAUUGGGCUAGAAAGCCCAGCCAGCAGAGUAAGUAAAAGGGAGGCAGAGAGGAGCCUAAGAGAAAAGGUGCAGGAAUGGAAAGAAGGAAAAAAUACAUCAUCAUUGGCAUUGAUAUAGUUGUCCAUGUGGGAAACUGUCAGAACACUACAACUAAAUUAUUAGAGUUAAUGAAUUAGGAAGAUUUUUUAAAAUACAGAGUCAGCGUAGGAAAAACAGUUGCUUUUCUAUAGAACAGAAACAAACAACAAAAUAGAAAAUAAUGAUAACCAUUAAUAUCCUACAUAGCCAUGGAUUAUUUAUCAAAAUUAAGAAGUUAACAUUGAUAGAGUAAUGUUAACUAAAUUACAAGCUUUCAUUCAGGUUUUCCCAGUUUUUCUUUGACACAUUUUUUGUUUCAGGAUCAAUUCAGGACACCACUUGCAUUCGGUAGCCAUAUCUCUUCAGUCUUCUCCCAUUUGUGGAGUUUGUUGCUGUUGAUGCUGCUGUUUUCCUUGUCUUUUCCAGGCUUUAUACUUUUGAAGAGUAGUGGUCAUGUCUUUUUUAGAAUGGGACUCAAUUUGAUUUUGUCUUAUGUUUUCUCAUGAUUAUGUCACUUCAUAUCAGAGAGUAAAUUACAUCAACAUGAUUUAUUGCUGGUGGUGUUAACUUUGUUCACUUGGUUAAGAUGGUCUCUGCCAGAGUUCUCCACAGUAAAGUUACUACAGUGUUCCCCUUUUAUCCAUCGGGAACGUGUUCCAAGACCUCCAAUGGAUGUUGAAACUGCUGAUAGUACCAAACCCUAUAGAUACUAUGUUUUUUCCUAUAUAUUAUCUAUAAGAAAUUUUAAUUUAUAAAUUAGGCACAGAAAGAGAUUAACAAUAAUAGCUAUAAUAAAAUGGAACAAUUACUAUUAUAAUUAUAUUUAUGUAAUAUAAUGUAAUUUUUUUAUUUUUGAGAGUAUAUGGUUCUUUGUAAUCAGUGAGAUAUUUUAAUCAUAUGCCUUGCAGUAUUGUCACAUAGUACUAGGGUUAAUCUGUUCUUCCCUAUUUUAUGCCCUGGUGCUUCUUUAGCACUUUUAUGACUAUAGUUCCUGUUGGGCAUCUUCUAUCAGAAAAGCCUCGUUUAAUCACAGUUGAGUACUUGCUUGGGAUGAUAUAUCUUGUUUUAUUAAUCAACUGCCUCAACUGUGUUAGAAAUGCAGCUACAACUCCACAGGUGGAUCUCUCCGGUAAUUUUUAUAUUUUUCAGACCAGGACUAUUCCUGAGUCUAACCAUUCCUUACUUACAGUAAAUGGCUUGGUAUUACUCACAUCACGGGAUCCUCUCAUGUGUUGUGUAACACAAUUCAGUCAAUCAGAAGAUACUUUGUUUAUGUCUUCUGCCCCAAAUUUAAUGCCUUUUCUUUAAAAAGCACUUAUCAUGCACUUUUAUCACCAGCUAGCCAGGCUGGCUACCUAAGCUGGAUUCACAAAAGCUGGCUACAUUAGUAACUAAGAAAAUGGCCAAAAAAAAAAAAAAAAAAAAAUCAUACAACACACAGAAAUACCUUUUGCUUGCAGAAAUCAGGGACAACUCUCAACCUUUAGGGUCCAUUGGAAAGAGAGAGAGCAUGCCUGAGACUCUAUUUAUUGAGGGGAAGAUACUUUUGAAAGUUCCACCCAAAUGAUGGAAGGGUUGGGUUUCAGGUGGGUGUAGCCCGUCCCAUUGGGUGACUGCCCACUCUCGGAGCUUCAUUCCCCUGCUGACCAGAGGUGAGGUCCACCUGCUUUAGUGCACAGUGGAAGACAGUCCCACACCUCAAUCACUUAAGGAUAAGGGUACAUGUUCAUUCCUAUGUGGCAGCUCCCCACAUAUACCCCCUUUUUUAUAUGUAAAUACACCGAAGGGUUAUAACUCCCAGUCACUGGAUUCUUUGUCUGAGGAUGUCAUGACCUCCUAUUGUGACAUAAAAAGAAUGAGUAGAAAACAUAUCAUUUCAAUAACAUACCAUAUAGAAUGUUUCAACAUAUUUUUUGGAUUAAAGUCAUUCAAUUAAUUUCAAAAGAUCCAGGUUAUUAUUAUUACUCUGACAAACACUCACUAGAAGAUUUUUAAUCUUUUCCCAAUUUUAUUGGGAAGCAUUGUAUUUGGCCAUAGUAACACAGACAUAUUUAUAAUUAGCAUGGCAUUCAAGCCUUGCCUUAAACCAUAGAGCAGAGAUCUCAUUUGUAUUAUUUAUUACAGUGGCUUCUAGAGCGUACAACUUAGUUUCAAUCCUUCCGUCAAUAUUCAUCUGACUAUGGAGGAUCUGGGAAGUAAUUUAAGCCAAAUUAUUUAAGAAUAUUUACAUUUGUAAGUUUAAAACAUAGCCACAAAGGCUGUAAUUGUAGAAACAAUGAAUAAAUUCAAAGUAGUCACUUUAAGGAUCAUGAGAUCAAGAGCUUGCCUAGGUCUGUUUAAUUGGCAUGCACCUGUUUCGAAGGCUGAACAUUAAAUUCAGCAUACCAUGGUUCUGAAAUGUUAGCUGGCAGUAGGACAAAGGAAGGUUGAUGAAAGAUCAGUGUUCUUUUCCUCUGUUAUACCUAAUGAUACAAUUAGAUAAGUUGCAUUUUUUAUAGGCUACAGGAUAUUUAUCAUCCUUUCUCUUAAUUCUCACAUUUAAGAAUUUUCUUAGGUUUGUCAGUAAUGCAAAAAUUUUGGGGCAGAAGUUAAGCACCAGACACCCUUAUGGAUGCCAUCUCUCUAAAGGUUAAAGCCUCUAGGAAUCAUGGUAUCCUCAUGUAAUUGUCUUUGUCAAUUCUGGGAGACCAGUCUAAAAUAUAUCCACUAUUUUUAGACACCUUAUGUUAUACUGGCAAGACAUUUGCACAAUCCAUCCACUUAGGAAUGGUGCCAAUUUUAUUGUAGAAUGAUUAGGGCAAUAAUAUGUUGGUAGAUACUUUAUGUGAAUAACUGGCCUGUAUAGAAAAAUUCGAUUUUAAUAAUCUUUCUAUUUUGACAGUUGUCCAGAUAUGUCAGUGUAGUCUUAAUUUCCAAGGACCAGCAUGAUUGGCUGGUUUAGGUUACCCAUAUGCUGUCUCCCCCCCCCCCCCCCCCACCGAAAGAUACUCUUAGACAGCCAGCAUUUUUAUCAUGGGAACAACAUAUAGGUAUAGCUGACCAUUAUAGUCAGUACAAUUAAUCUAGUCACAUGGAUGAAUUUUCUAGUCCACACCGUAAAGUACAUUAAAAAGUGCACUUGGGAAAUGGGUCCACAGAAGUCUCUUCAUAAGUUUUACCUACCUGACAAGCUCGUUAAGCUGCAUGGCUGUAAACUCUGCAGCUAGAGAUUUACCUUCCUGUAUCAGGUUUUUCAGCCAUUUCCAGGAUAACAGGUUUAAACUGUUUUGAAAUCUGAUUUAACUUACUAAAUCAUAUUCAGCAGCAGUAAGACUUUUAAUAUCACAAUUUAAGAAAAAAAUUUGAAAUAUUUGUAAGAUUUAGUAUGUGUAUAUAGGAUCCUGUUUUCCCCUUAUUUCUUUGUUAAAAUUGAAUAGAGGCUUAGCAUAAGUUAUACUAUCAUUAGGUGAAUAGUAUAGUACAAGUAUUUAAAUAAUAAGAAAAGGUUUAUUAUCUCUAGCUGGUUAUGAAACUUGACAAAAGUCAUUUAAAGGGACCAUAGUAAAUAGAAACUUAAUCUUUACCAAAUAUACGACUUGAUUUUAAUAGAAUUAUCCAAAAUGAAGAAUAUAAUAAGUUGUAUAUAAAAAUUUGUGUUGUGAAAUUAGCUCUAGAUUAACUUAAAUGACUCUCUUAAUUUGGAAUGAGGCUAGAGCCAGAGUUUUAAACUUAAGAAUGGUGUCCUUUACUAGCAGCAUGAGAAAUAUAUAGAGACAUCUUUCCAAAAUAGAAAAUAUAUGUUUAAUAAACAUAGGAAAAAUAUUUUGUUUUUUUACCAUUAACAAAAACUGAAAUAGAAAACUGAAUAUCCCUUUAUUUACUAAUCCAUUAAAAAUUGUUAUUAUUGUUAUCAAACUUAAUGCUGACCUAAGUAUGUGGAGUUAGUACUUCAAAAAUUGAUGGGCAAAAAUAAGUCAAUAGUAUUGUUUGAGACCGUGAUCUGAUUUAGAAUUUUAUAUGGCAUUAAGCUAGCAAUGACAUUUUGAGGGAUUCAUGUCAAAACAGUCUUUAUGUGUAAACAGUUAUAUGAACAUGUUUAAUAACUUGAUGUAAUAAGCUCUAAUAAUUAUGUAUAGUUUAUGUCUUUACUAAUUUUUAAAAUACCAAUGUGUGAUGUAGGGCACUACCUUGUUUUUAAAGUAAAGAAUGGGCUUAUCACAUUUAAGUUCUGUAUUGAGAUAAACUAGUGGCUGUUGAGCUGACUUGUUUAUGGCUGUCUGUCUAAUAUUUUAGGGGUGACUAUUUUUAGAGUUAUUUUUCUCUGUGAUAAACUGAUGACAGGGGCUCAAAGUAAACCCUGUUUCAGUGUUAUAGAGGCUUUCAAAGUUUUUUUUUUUAAUAACUUAAAAGAGGAGUAACAUUUUUAUUUAGGAAGUUUAUUUCUUUUGGCAUCAAGACUAGUAUUUUGGUCUUUUUCUAUCUUUAUGUUUUUUUUCUUUUAUUUGAUCUCUAUUUAAAUUAUGGUGUAACAUCUAAAUUUGCGUAGGACCAUGUUAGUUUCUGCAAUCCCUUGAAAAUGGGUGGCCCUCUAUAAAUUUAGGGUGCUAUGUACUGUCUCUUUGAGUUUCAUAAAAACAGUAGGAUUUUUCUAAAGGCUUACUAAAAUAAUAAUAAUUAUUAUUAUUAUAAUUAUAUAUAAUAUAUUGUUAUAUAAUUAUAAAUUAAUAUUAUUUUAUAUUACCUGUUGGAUCCUGUUUAUCCCUGGGGAAUUGUCUGUGCUCCAAACAACCAGGUUUGUCCCUAUUCUGUGUUUUUGGGACAAGAUUAAGAUAGAUCUUUUUAAAAUUGUUCUUAGGAUGGCCUUCUAUUUUAAAUUUUAGCUAAGUAAUAGCAUAAUAUCUAGGUGAGGUCAGACAUCUGGCAUAAGUUCUGAAAUAUAUUUGGAUCUCUUGAAAAUCUCUCUGAAUUUGUUCUUAUCUGUAUUAAGCUAGAGAGGUUUCUUUUGUUUAAGGCCUUGUCUCAUGGUAGUGACUGAGGCCAGACCUACAAUAUAUGAAAAUAAGACACCUCUUUUGAUCAUUGUAAUUCAUUUUGAUGUUACAUGUAAAAUGGAUAAAUUAAAAUAACCUUUAAUCCCUUCCUGAGAGAAGGUCUCAAAAUAUCUUUAUAUUUCAUAAUAUUAUCCUUUAAAUGGAUCAGUGUCUCUCAGUUGUCUUUAAAAAAUAUGAUUAAGGGUACUUCCCAAUGAAGGGAGCUGCAUAUAAGUCUGAUAAUAUAUCUUGUGGGCUAUAGGUCCAGUCAGAGAACCCUACAUGAUACAAAUGAAUUCCCAAUAAAAUUUGUAGCUUCUGUUGCUCAAAAUUAACAUAUAGCCUUAAUUUGGAGAACAUCAGUUUUAAUAAAAUGUUCUCUUAAAUCUCACAGAUAUUUUAGAAACUUAUAUAUUUAACAAACGAAAUUAAUAUGUAAGAAUUAGCAGUAAUUAUCAUAAUUAUGAUGUUUUCAAAUCAAUUAAAUGUAGUCUUUGAAGAGAAGUUUCAAAAUUCGAACUCAAGGUAAUAUUUGAAGACAUUUAUUGUUUAAUCAAGGAUGUGUGAAUCUUAAUUCACUAUAAAUUAUUCCUUGUUUAAACAGCAAGAAUCACUAGGCAUAAACUUAAUGUUUCAAUAAGUUCUGUCAUUCAAAAUUUGGACAAAAAUCUUUAUUUACAUCAGCAUAAUAAGAUCAGGGAAAAGCCUGAAAUAUCCUAAAACUGAUCAUUUUAUAUAUUUAUAGUCAGUUCAGUUAUAUAUGAAUCUGUUUUUCAAUUACCUUAACUUCUUAUAUCACUGUCUAGAUAAUCACAUAAAGAUUUCUAUGUUCAGGGGCUGGGGUUGUGGCUUAGUGGUAGAGUGCUCACCUAGCAAGUGUGAGGCCCUGGAUUCGAUCCUCAGCACCACAUAAAAAUAAAAUAAAUAAAAUAAAGAUAUUGCGUUCAACUACAACUAAAAAAUAAAAUAAGAAAUAUUAUUUUUAAUUGAUUUUAUUUUAUAAAUACAUGACAGUGGAAUGCAUUACAAUUCUUAUUAAACAUAUAGAGCACAAUUUUUUAUAUCUCUCUGUAUAAAGUAUGUUCACCACCAAUUCAUACCUGUACUUGGAUAAUGAUAUCCAUCACAUUCCACCAUUAUUGCUAACCCCCUGCCCCCUCCCUUCCUCUCCUACCCCUCUGCCCUAUCUAGAGUUUGUCAAUUCCUCCCAUGCUCCCCCUCCCUACUCCACUAUGAGUCAGUGACCUUGUAUCAGAGAAAAAGUCAGCAUUUAUUUGGGGGUGGGGUGGGGGGAAUUGGCUAACUUCACUUAGCAUUAUCUUCUCCAGUGCCAUCCAUUUACCAGCAAAUGCCAUGAUUUUAUUCUCUUUUAUUGCUGAGUAGUAUUUCAUUGUGUAUAUAUGCCACAUUUUUUACUCCAUCUACUGAAGGGCAUCUAGGUUGGUUCCACAGUUUAGCUAUUGUGAAUUGUGCUGCUGUAAGCAUUGAUGUGGCUGUGUCCCUGUAGUAUGCUGUUUUUAAGUCCUUUUAGUAUAGACCGAGGAGAGGGAUAUCUGGGUCAAAUGGUGGUUCCAUUCCCAGUUUUCUAAGGAAUUUCCAUACUACUUUCCAUAUUGGUUGCACCAAUUUGCAGUCUCACCAGCAAUGUAUGAGUGUGCCUUUUUCUCCAUAUCCUCGCCAACACUUAUUAUUGUUUGUCUUCAUAAUAGCUGCCAUUCUAACUGAAGUGAGAUGCUAUCUUAGAGUAGUUUUGACUUGCAUUUCUCUAAUUGCUAGAGAUGAUGAACAAUUUUUCAUAUAUUUGUUGAUUGAUUGUGUAUCCUCUUCUGAGAAAUAUCUGUUCAUGUCCUUGGCCCAUUUAUUGAUUGGGUUAUUUGUUUUUUUUGGUGCCUAGCUUUUAGAGUUCUUUAUAUACCCUAGAGAUUAAUGCUAUAGCUGAUGUGUAAGGGGCAAAAAUUUGCUCCCAAGAUGUAGGUGCUCUCUUCACCUCACAGAUUGUUUCUUUUGCUGAGAAGAAACAUUUUAGUUUGAGUCCAUUUCAUUUAUUGAUUCUUGGUUUUACUUUUUGCACUAUAGAAGUCUUAUUAAGGAAGUUGAGGCCUAAUCCCACAUGAUGAAGAUUAGGGCCUCCUUUUUCUUCUAUUAGACGCAGGGUCUCUGGUUUAAUUCCUAGGUCCUUGAUCCACUUUGAGUUGAGUUUUGUGCAUGGUGAGAGAGAGGGGUUUAGUUUCAUUUUUUGCGUAUGGAUUUCCAGUUUUCCCAGCACCAUUUGAUGAAGACACUAUCUUUUCUCCAGUGCAUGUUUUUGGCACCUUUGUCUAAUAUAAGAUAAUUAUAAUUUUGUGGGUUAGUCUCUGUGUCCUCUAUUCUGUACCGUUGGUCUACUAGUCUGUUUUGGUGCCAAUACCAUGCUGUUUUUAACAAAAACAGUUAACAGCUAUUGCUUUGUAGUAUAGUUUAAGGUCUGGUAUAGUGAUGCCACCUGCUUCAUUCUUCCUGCUAAGGAUUGCUUUAGCUAUUCUGGGUUUCUUAUUUUUCCAGAUGAAUUUCAUGAUUGCUUUUUCUAUUUCUAUUAGAAAUGCCAUUGGGAUUUUGAUCAGAAUUGCAUUAAAUCUGUAUAGUGCUUUCGGUAGUAUGGUCAUUUUGAUAAUAUGAGUUCUGCCUAUCCAAGAGCAAGGUAGAUCUUUCCAUCUUCUAAGGUAUUCUUUAAUUUCUUUCUUUAGAGUUCUAUAGUUUUCAUUGUAUAGAUCUUUCACCUCUUUCAUUAAGUUGAUUCUCAAGUAUUUAUUUUAUUUAUUAAUUUUUUGAGGCUACUGUAAACGGGGUAGUUUUUCGCAUCUCCCUCUCAGAGGAUUUGUCACUGAUCUGCAGAAAUUCAUUUAUGGGUGCUGAUUUUAUAUCCUGCUACUUUGCUGAAUUCAUUUAUUAGUUCUAGAAGUUUUCUGGUGGAGCCUUUUGGGUCUUCUAGGUAUAGAAUCAUAUUGUCAGCAAAUAGUGCUAAUUUAAGUUCUUUUCCUAUACGUAUGUCUUUAAUUUCUUUCUUCUGUCUAAUUGCUCUGGCAGUAUUUCUAGAACUAUAUUAAAUAGGAGUGGUGAAAGAGAGCAUCCCUGUCUUGUUCCAGUUUUUAGAGGGAAUGCCUUCAAUUUUUCUCCAUUUAGAAUGAUGUUGACCUGGGGCUUAUAUAGCCUUUAUGAUGUUGAAAUAUGUUCCUGUUAUCCCUAGAUUUUCUAGUGUUUUGAACAGGAAGGGGUGCUGUAUUUUGUCAAAUGCUUUUUUCUGCAUCUAUUGAGAUGAUCAUAUGAUUCUUAUCUUAAGUCUAUUGAUGUGAUGAAUUACAUUUAUUGAUUUCCUUAUGUUGAACCAACCUUACAUUCCUGGGAUGAAUCCCAGUUGAUCAUGGUGCAUGAUCUUUUUGUAUUUGAUUUGCCAGAAUUUUAUUGAGAAUUUUUGUAUCUAUGUUCAUCAGAGAUAUUGGUCUGAAGUUUCUUUCUUUGAUGUAUCUUUGCCUGGUUUUGGAAUCAGGGUGAUAUUGGCCUCAUAGAAUAAUUUUGGAAGUACUGCCUCUUUUUCUAUUUCCUGAAAUAAAUUGGUAUUAGUUCUUCUUUAAAGGUUUUGUAGAACUCGACUGUGUAUGCAUCCCAUCCUGGGCUUUUCUUGGUUGGUAGGCUUCUGAUGGCAUCUUCUGUUUCAUCACUUGAUAUUGGUCAGUUUAAAUUGUAUAUAUCUUCCUGAUUCAAUCUGGGCAAAAAAAAGAAAAUUAUUUAUUCAGGAAAAUCCUUCUAUCAUUAAAAUUUAGAAUAUAUAAAAGCCUUUUCUUUUUACCCAGAGAUAAUUUCUUUCUUCCUCUUAGGACUCUUCCAAUUUCUUAUUCUCUAUACAGAAGUAUUUCUUUCUCUCUCCUACUAGAAUUCUUCCUUGGUUAUAUUUUGGAAUAAUUCCUGUAAAUCUUAGAAUCUAAACAAUUGUUGUAUUUUAAUAAGAAGAGUUACUUCAAAUGAAAUGUAGCCAAGGCUUUUUGGAUAUCUCUGUUUACAGAAUUAUAUCUAUCAUUUUAUAAAAACCUGAACAAUAAUUUAGGAAUUAGAGAUUACUUGAUGGUUAUAUGUCAACCUUAUAAUUUAAUGAGUAUUUCUUGGAAUAAACAUUUUAUAGUAAAUUACAUUUACCUUAAAUAUCUCUAAAAAGCAGAGAAUCAGAUAAAUGCAUGUAUAAAAAAAUAUAAAUUAUAUGAUUCCUGUUGAGGGAAAAUGAUUAGAAGCAAAUAGACAUAUAUUAAUUAUCCUCUAAAUUAAAGACUAUACAUUAUUUAUGUAACUGGGAAAAUAUGCAUUAAGAAUAAAAGUAUAGCUUAUAAUUAUGUAAUCAUAAAUCUUAUGAAACCCUGUGCUUCUUAAAAGUAUUUGGAUCCAUUUUAACUUACUUUUAACUAGGAGUUCACCCUUAUAUCUAGGUGAUGUCACAUCAUGCAGUUAAAAUAAGAUCCUUGUGCAUACAUUUAUGUAUUUUUUGUAUUUACAUAGUAGAAGUGAAAAGAAUAAGGAUUCUUUGGUCGUCAUGGGAACACUGUGAGAAAAGAUCUCAGAUUGCUGGCUUUCUGUCCUCAUGACAAGCAAAUGCACCCCAUAACUUUUAAAAAUGAAAUUAAGCUAUAAGCAUAUGCAUAGUAUCUCAUUAAUGUAACGUUAUCUUUGCAAUUUCUCCUUAAUAAUAUAGCCAUAGAAAAUUCCUAGAGGAACCUGUAGGAUAAAAAAUCAGAUUAUUUAGCUUUGAGAACAAGUCAGGCUGAGAGCUGCAGUGGAAGAGUUUGCUGAAUUAGAUUUUGUCUGAAAAUAAAUAUUUUUGUUAAAGGGAACAUAUUAAAAACCAUGAAAAGAAAUUUUCUGACAGCGGGGCACAGCUUUCGUAACUCCAGUUGUCAGCCUGUGGGAGACAGAUAGUAUAGUUUAGUGGUUGGGCAGUGGGAGUGGAAGCUCUGUUUGAGUGGUGGUAGUAAGGUGGUAGGAAGGUCACUUGGUUGGGGGAUUCUUCCAGGUUUUGCUGGAAGAAUCCAAAGUUUUGCUUGAAAUUGUAGGAUUUUUACUCCCUGUGUUGUCUCUUCUGACCAUGGCAGUCCUUGGUUGAAGCUUGGCAGCGCCCAGCAGCGCGUGUUUGUGGCUCUGUGCAGUCCAGUCGGUGCUCCUGCUAUGGGUUACCAUGGUUAGUGUGUAGCGGAGCAGGUCACAUUGGCAUCUGGACCAACAAAGGACCCUUUGGCUGGCUGCGCCUUGCCUGUCCCUUUGCCCUCUGUUGUGCCCUUUGCCUGGUACCUGGCACUGGGCCUGUUUGUCUGCAUUUCCCCACUUCAAAUCCCCUUGACCUUUCAUGGGCACUCCGCCAUUUUCCCUUGGGUUGUGGAUGUUCCGGUGGCGGCAACGUGCCCUUGCCUCGCUGUUCCCUCAGGCACCCAGUGCAGGGGGGAGCAGCCAGACUUGUGUCCCUGUGAGUCCCGGCCAGCGGCCAGCAUCCCCCUAAUGGUGGCACAAAGCCGCAGUGCAAAAUGAGCCUCCCCUGGUGCUGCCAUAUUGUAUUGCCUGGGCAGGAUCCUUUGAGCUGGUCUCUGUGACUUGUGUUGACCUUAGCACUUUCUCAGUCAGUGGACCGUUUCCCUGCAUCUCCCCCUUGCAGUGCCUCCUGCAGAUGUCUCAGAAAUCUUUCAACUGAAAAGCAGGCUCCAGCAACAGAAGCUGGUGCCAAUGUCCUGCACAUGGACAUUGUGGGCCAGACUAGGUUAUCUAAGGAGCAAAAGUAUUGCUGGCAGUGGGUCUGCAAGGAUAAGUUAAAGACCCCAUAGGGAAGAGCAGCCAAAGCCUUACAUCUGCAUGAGAGUAGCAACUGGGUUACAGCUCACUCAGUUUCAGUAUUCGGUAAGGCUGCAGUAAGAGGCUCAGUAGAUUUAUUAGCCCAAUUUAAAUUGCCUGAAUAAUUCUAGAAAGUAAUAAUCAAAUUAAAAAAAUUAAAUACUUUAUUUCUCUAGAAGCAUAGAUUUCUGGAAUUUUAACGUUCCAUAAUAAAACAAUUUUUCCUCUCGCUCUUCUUUCUCUAAACAUUAAUCUCCAGUAUACAAAUCCAAAUUUUCUUAUCUAAAACAUUUCAAAACACAAAAAAUCCACAUUAAUUCCACAAUAAGCCCUAAAAACCAUGCCUUUCUUAUGAGAGAGAGAGCUACACUUUAACCAUAUACAUAUUAUCAACUACCUUAAACACAAUCCUAGUGGGGACUCCAUUUAUGGCCAGCUAGCCAGGCUGGUGACAUGAGCUGGGUUCACAAAAGCUGGCUACAUUAAUAACUAAGAAAAUGGCAAAAGAAGCACGCAACACACAGAAAUACCUUUUGCUUGCAGGAAUCAGGGAGGCCUCUCAACCUUAAAGGUCCUUGGAAAGAGAAAGAAAGCAUGCCUUAGACCCUAUUUUUUGAGGGGAAGACACUUGAGAAAGUUCCACCCAAGUGAGGGAAGGAAUUGAGUUUCAGGGGGGGUGUAACCCAGUCCCAUUGGGUGACUGCCCACUCCUGGAGCUUCAUUCCCCUGCUGAGCAGAGGUGAGGUCCACCUGUUUUGUCCACUGCUGAAGCCAGUCUCACACCUCCAUUACUCAAGGCUAAGGGUACAUCCUCAUUCCUAUGUGGCAUCUCCUGAUACACUGUGGCCAGAACUUUUGCAGUUUUAGAUUUGACAGUGAAAGUAGCAUGAAUUUCAUUUGAAAAUUUAUUCUUGCUGUAGAUCUUAGCAACCUCAACAGACAAUUUAUUUAUUUAUUUUUUUAAGUUGAGAACCUUUACCUUUUUACUUAAUGGAAGCAUUUGACAGCUUCUUUUUGACACAUCCACAUUGCCAGCAUCACUGCUUUGGGGCUUUAGGGUCAUAAUUAAGUAACUAAGGGUUACUCAAAUAUAAGUACUGUGAUACCAUAACAGUCAAUCUUAUAACCAAGACAGCUAUUAAAUGUAUGCAGGUAGUAUUUAUACUGCAUCUAUACUAUGCAUCAGCUGUGUAUUCAUGUCCCCAGUAGAACAGAGUGAGAUUUCAUCACACUAUUUAGAACAUUGUGUGAUUUAAACUUAUAAAUUGUUUAUUCCUGGAAUUUUCCUUUUAAUAUAUUUGAAUCAUUGUUGAACUCAGGUAACUGAAACCAUGGAAAGAAAAACCAAAAAUGGAGAAUGGAAUCAUUGUCUAGAAAAUGUAAUUUUUUACAUUUAUAAUUUGCCUAGCAAUAUAAUAUAAAUAAUUUUUAAUAAGUCUAAUACAUAAUGUCUUAGACCUUUAAUGAUAAAGUUAUGAACUUUUAUUAAAAGACAUUAUUAAUUUAAUGUGGAGAAACACUACAUUAAUGAAUUAGAACACUUAAAUGUUGAAAACAAUAUUAUUUCUCAGUGCACAUGGAAUCAAAUACCUAAUAUUUGGGGAAUUUUAAUGUUGUUAUUAUUAAUAUUUUUAAUAUAAUAAAAUGCUAUUAUUUUAGUAGCAUUUUGAUGAUACUUGACACUAUAAUUCUGAACUUAUAUAGGGUAGUUAUUCAAAAAUUACAAGUGCAUGCCUAAAGAAUAAGAUGUUUUUCCUGCCCUAUAUCAAGGAGGUCUGGUUUUCCUGCCUUUAUAUCAUGAUUUAAUAUAAAACCAUAGUAAUUAAGCUAGUGUAUGAUUUAGGGAUAUACAAAUUGCCCAAUGGAAAACAAUAGAGAAUUCAGAAACAGAUCCACCUGUAUAUAGAAACUUUGUUUUAUUAUAAAACUGGUGUGUACUGGUCAAUGAAAAGUGGACACAGUUUUCAGUAUAUGGCUUAAGGCAUUAGACUGUCCAUACGAAAGAGAAUGAAGUGGGAUUCCCAAACACAAUGGGAAAAAAAAGUUAAAAUGUUUUAAAUUAACAAUUAUAAUUAAAUUUAAUUAUAAAACUAAAAAUUAGAAGAAGCAGAAUUCAGGAAAGAAGUUGAAGAAAAACCAAAACUUUCAAAGAAAUGAAAACAAGAAUUUGAAAGAGUGUAAGAGAAAAAAGAUGGUGCAGAAAUCAGAGGUCAUAGAGAUUAGAAAUGAGAGAAGUAAAUAAAUUCAAGUGUACAUCUGAAGAAAUGAUAAAAUAUCUUAGUUUUAAAAUAUCAAUGUUUACAAUACACCAGGAACCAUAUCAUUAACUUUUCUCAUGCUUCUGAGUUAUAUACCAGAAAUCAAAAAGUCAUCUAUAAAUUAUUUUAAUGAUGACUCUAAUGACAACUUAAUUACCCUAUCAUCUGUAGGUUACUAAAGACUAGAAAUCGCUUGACUUAUAGAGGAAUUUGCUCUCACUUUCUCAGCUUGAGGAAAUUUUAUCAAAAAGGCUUAACUAAGAUUUAUCAAAUGACUGUUAUACUUAUUACUCUUUUAUGUAGAAGCACCCUAUUUAAUCCAAUAUACUUAGAAAGGGUUGUAAGAACUAUUAUUAAUUGCAACAUAUAUAUGUCAAUAAAUAAUUUUUAGAGAAUUUUUUAAAGAUCUGUCUUAAUUAUAUUUUUAGCAAAGCUUGUAGCUGUAAAUAGAGAUUACUUAGUUUAGGGAAAAUGGCUGCCAUUUAAUCUAAUUUACAAAGCUAGUCUUCAUUUUUAAAUUUAUCUUUCAAAUAAGACAUCCUUCUUUCAGUAAAAGUCCAACUUGAUUUUUUAACUCAAAUAAAUAUGUUAAUAUAUGCCGCCAUGACAACCAUCACAUGGCAGAAUUCUAAUUCUAAUAUAGAUAAAUAGGUAAGGCACAGAGCCCGGCCAUGUGUUGCCUGGAUACAGUAAUGUACUGCUGCCUUCAGUGUUUCUUUGCUUUGUGCUCACUAAAGUCUCCUAGAGAGAUGCUUCUUUAACAGUAAUCAGGCUGUGGAAGAAGGAAAGGCUUUAGGUAAAAUAUCAUCUCUACUGCUUUAUUUUAUCUGAUUUAUAAUAUUAUAAUAUGGACCCAAAUACUCAAUUACUUAAUAAAAUAUAUAUGAGAUAGGAAAAGAACAAUUUCAUUGAUUAAAGGAGAAUUUUUACAUAGCAUUGUUUUAAUUUGUCCCCUUCUUUGGCCACCUGGGGUUUUACAUCCCAGGAAUUAUACAUUUCUUUUAUAAAGUGGAGGAAAGGUAAUUGUGAAGUGGGGAAAGGAGCCAGCAUGAUAACUUGGCUACCAGCGUAUUCCCAGAAAGAUCAGUAUUAGGAAGAAUGAAGGUUGAGGAGCUAGAAAUUGGUUGUCUUAAAACGAUCUUAUCUUGCCUUAAAAUUACACAUUUCUUGGAAAGUCUUUGUAAAAACCCAAAUGUUCCUCAGUUUGAGGGCUACUGACAUAUGGGAAAGGUAAGAUAAAUUCAUUAUAUGUAUAAUUGUCAACACAACAAUAAAAAACCUAAAUUAAUGAAACCAAUGACUAGAUAUUAAAAUAAAAUAAAAGUCAACUUGAAUUUAAAUAUCAAAAGAGCACACUGUGUGCCUUGGCCUUAUAAAUUUCAUGGACCUCAGAUAAAGAAAAUUUCUCUGUGGAAUCAGGCAAUAGAUUGAGAUAUUUAUAAAAGGGAAAAUGAUGCUGGCCUUAGAUUUCACUUGAUGUAAGAAAAUAGAGCAUAAUUUUAAGAUUUGUUUUAGAAAAGAACAGGUAAUUUUUUAGACUUUUGUAUUUGUCUCAUCUUUCAAGUAUAAGUCAACAAAUAGUUGUGAACUAAAAAAAAAGUUUUUAAAGUAUUCCUUUGAGCCUUUAUGAGGAAAUACUAGAAGAUAGACUCUUCUCAACAUGGUUUUGCAAGGUAAAGAUUUGAAGUAGCCAAAACAUCUUCUGCCAGUGCUGAAAGCAUUUUUUUUCAUUUUUAGAUGAACUGUGGGUUCUGGUAACACUACCUAUGAGCAAAUGGACUGAUUUCUCAGGCCUUUGAGGUUCUCCAAAAUUAGAAAAGAGUCAUUCAGCUGUCUCAUCAUUAAUGGAAAGGACCUGAGCCAAGAGGCUGGAGAAGAGAAUCAACCACAUAGAAUAGAGUGCUGCAUUCAGGUUCAACUUCCUCAACCCAAAGAUGAAACACUAAGUUUUCAUACCAAUUUCUAAAGGUUAGUUCAUGAUGAAGUUGACAGAAUU
rnacentral:lncRNA from 1 species